UACGAAGGGGGCUAGCGUUGCUCGGAAUCACUGGGCGUAAAGCGCACGUAGGCGGAUUGUUAAGUCGGGGGUGAAAUCCUGGAGCUCAACUCCAGAACUGCCUUCGAUACUGGCGAUCUUGAGUCCGGGAGAGGUGAGUGGAACUCCGAGUGUAGAGGUGAAAUUCGUAGAUAUUCGGAAGAACACCAGUGGCGAAGGCGGCGACCUGGGCCAAUAUUGACGCUGAGGUGCGAAAGCGUGGGGAGCAAACAGGG
rnacentral:rRNA from 1 species